AUACGGAGGGUGCAAGCGUUAAUCGGAAUUACUGGGCGUAAAGCGUGCGUAGGUGGUUUGUUAAGUUAGAUGUGAAAGCCCCGGGCUCAACCUGGGAACUGCAUUUGAAACUGGCAUACUAGAGUAUAGGAGAGGAAAGUGGAAUUUCAGGUGUAGCGGUGAAAUGCGUAGAUAUCUGAAGGAACAUCAAUGGCGAAGGCAGCUUUCUGGACUAAUACUGACACUGAGGUACGAAAGCGUGGGUAGCAAACAGAAUUAGAAACCCUAGUAGUCC
rnacentral:rRNA from 1 species